rnacentral:rRNA from 1 species
UACGGAGGGUGCAAGCGUUGCUCGGAAUUAUUGGGCGUAAAGGGCCUGUAGGUGGUCUCAUUUGUCAGGGGUGAAAGCCUUGAGCUUAACUCAAGAAGUGCCCCUGAAACGGUGAGGCUAGAGUGCUGGAGAGGGUCGUGGAAUUCCCGGUGUAGCGGUGAAAUGCGUAGAGAUCGGGAGGAACACCAGAGGCGAAGGCGGCGACCUGGACAGUUACUGACACUCAACUACGAAAGCGUGGGGAGCAAACAGG